AUUGAACGCUGGCGGCAUGCCUUACACAUGCAAGUCGAACGGUAACGCGGGGCAACCUGGCGACGAGUGGCGAACGGGUGAGUAAUAUAUCGGAACGUGCCCAGUUGUGGGGGAUAACUGCUCGAAAGAGCAGCUAAUACCGCAUACGACCUGAGGGUGAAAGCGGGGGAUCGCAAGACCUCGCGCAAUUGGAGCGGCCGAUAUCAGAUUAGGUAGUUGGUGGGGUAAAGGCCUACCAAGCCGACGAUCUGUAGCUGGUCUGAGAGGACGACCAGCCACACUGGGACUGAGACACGGCCCAGACUCCUACGGGAGGCAGCAGUGGGGAAUUUUGGACAAUGGGGGCAACCCUGAUCCAGCCAUGCCGCGUGCGGGAAGAAGGCCUUCGGGUUGUAAACCGCUUUUGUCAGGGAAGAAAGGACUCCUACUAAUACUGGGGGUUCAUGACGGUACCUGAAGAAUAAGCACCGGCUAACUACGUGCCAGCCGCCGCCGUAACAC
rnacentral:rRNA from 1 species